AUUGAACGCUGGCGGCAUGCCUUACACAUGCAAGUCGAACGGCAGCGGACCUUCGGGUGCCGGCGAGUGGCGAACGGGUGAGUAAAGUAUCGGAACGUACCUUUCAGUGGGGGAUAACGUAGCGAAAGUUACGCUAAUACCGCAUAUUCUGUGAGCAGGAAAGCAGGGGAUCGCAAGACCUUGCGCUGAUUGAGCGGCCGAUGUCAGAUUAGCUAGUUGGUGAGGUAAAGGCUCACCAAGGCGACGAUCUGUAGCGGGUCUGAGAGGAUGAUCCGCCACACGGGAACGGGGACACGGGCCAGACUCCUACGGGAGGCAGCAGGGGGGAAUUUUGGACAAUGGGGGCAACCCUGAUCCAGCCAUGCCGCGUGAGUGAAGAAGGCCUUCGGGUUGUAAAGCUCUUUCGGCCGGGAAGAAAUCGCAUGGGUUAAUACCCUGUGCGGAUGACGGUACCGGCAUAAGAAGCACCGGCUAACUACGUGCCAGCCGCCGCCGUAACAC
rnacentral:rRNA from 1 species